GAUGAACGCUGGCGGCGUGCCUAAUACAUGCAAGUCGAGCGAACGGACGAGAAGCUUGCUUCUCUGAUGUUAGCGGCGGACGGGUGAGUAACACGUGGAUAACCUACCUAUAAGACUGGGAUAACUUCGGGAAACCGGAGCUAAUACCGGAUAAUAUUUUGAACCGCAUGGUUCAAAAGUAAAAGACGGUCUUGCUGUCACUUAUAGAUGGAUCCGCGCUGCAUUAGCUAGUUGGUAAGGUAACGGCUUACCAAGGCAACGAUGCAUAGCCGACCUGAGAGGGUGAUCGGCCACACUGGAACUGAGACACGGUCCAUACUCCUACGGGAGGCAGCAGUAGGGAAUCUUCCGCAAUGGGCGAAAGCCUGACGGAGCAACGCCGCGUGAGUGAUGAAGGUCUUCGGAUCGUAAAACUCUGUUAUUAGGGAAGAACAUAUGUGUAAGUAACUGUGCACAUCUUGACGGUACCUAAUCAGAAAGCCACGGCUAACUACGUG
rnacentral:rRNA from 1 species